rnacentral:rRNA from 1 species
UACGUAGGUGGCAAGCGUUAUCCGGAUUCACUGGGUUUAAAGGGUGCGUAGGCGGGCAGGUAAGUCCGUGGUGAAAUCUCUGAGCUUAACUCAGAAACUGCCAUGGAUACUAUUUGUCUUGAAUGUUGUGGAGGUAAGCGGAAUAUGUCAUGUAGCGGUGAAAUGCUUAGAUAUGACAUAGAACACCAAUUGCGAAGGCAGCUUACUACACAAAUAUUGACGCUGAGGCACGAAAGCGUGGGGAUCAAACAGG